rnacentral:lncRNA from 1 species
GCUUACCAAGCGAUAAGGAAUAUGCUGGUAAGGGGGCUACCACCGUUGCUGAGAAGCUCAGCAGUGGCUAUCUUCUGUAGGCCAUGGCUCAGGUAGGAAAUUUAUUACAAAACUGUUAAUCAUAGAAUGAGGCUGAUAAUACCUGAAAAUAUGGAAACUAGAUUGUAACAUCUAAUUGUCAAAAACAAGGUGAAUCCAGUUCUUGUAAUGAAUAAUUGUGUUUGAGUAGGAGCCAGGAUGGACUGACACUCAGAGAGCUAUUCAGACAGUUAAUAGAGCACAGUAUUCUUGGGUACAGGAUAUGAACAGCUGACCAAAUUAUUGCUUAAUUUAUACACUCAGAAGAAAUAAAGGAAUGAUCAAGAAGCUGAGGGCAGGCAUCUCAAUUAAAAAAAAAAAAAAAAAAACAUGACCCCAUGCCUAAUUUCUGGACCUGAGCCAGUUCUCUAUCUCUGAAUCCAUUUGUUAAAUUAGAGGCUUUGACCCAGCAACAACAUAGCUGGAAUGUAAUGAUUCCUCUAGUCCUUCCUCAAAGGGCCCUCUGACCAUGUAUUAAAGUAAUUGAUAUAGAAAAUGUAGAUCACUAAAAGAUUUUGAUGGGAGUUAGACACAGGGUUUAAGUUACCUGGAAACCUGCUGUGUUUGGAUAACCUUCUUAUUAGUAGGGAAUGUAUCAGGGAUGUGUUGAGUCCUGAGCUGAGUGUGGUGACGCAAUCCCAGUGACUCCAGAGGUUGAAGGAGCCCAGUCACCUAAGUGAGACCACGUCUCAAAAUUAAAAAUGAACAAAUAAAUAGAGCUGGGGAUGUAGUUCAGUGACAAAGCACCCCUCAGUUCAAUCCCCAGACUGCAGAACAAGAAAAAGAAAAAGGAAUUUACUCUGACACUGAGACCCAACAAAUGGUUAUUUUGCAAGUCUUUGAAUGUUCAUUUGUAGUAAACAUAUUUGGUUGUAGAACCUCACUUUGGGGCUUUCUUCUAUGAAGUAAAAGCUAUCAUAGUUGAGGAGGCCAAAUGGAAGCCUCUGAAGCUGUUUCACCACCUGCCAAGUUAUUAAUUGAUUGUAUUAUCUUGUCUUAAGGACAAUGACAGAGGGUAGUGUUGCCCUUAAAAACAUGAAGGAUGUAGAGGCAAUGGUGUAUUUUGUUAUCCCCUGCCCAAUUUUGACAGCAAUAGGACACGUACAGCUGCGAUGGUGG